rnacentral:rRNA from 1 species
GUACACGCUGUGACUAGCAUAUCAAUAAGCGGAGGAAAAGAAACUAACAAGGAUUCCCUUAGUAACGGCGAGUGAAGCGGGAAGAGCUCAAAUUUGAAAUCUUGCAAGGUUUACCUUUCACGAAUUGUAGUUUAAAGAAGUGUUUUCUGCUUAAGAUUUGGUAAUAUAAGUUCUUUGGAAUAGGGACAUCAUAGAGGGUGAGAAUCCCGUAUGAUUGACGCAUUAUUGUCAGCUUUGUGAUACACUUUCAAAGAGUCGGGAUUGUUUGGGAAUGCAGUCCCAAAAUGGGAUGGUAAAUUUCUAUCUAAAGGCUAAAUAUUGGCGAGAGACCGAUCAGCGAACAAGUACCGUGAGGGAAAGAUGAAAAGAACUUUGAAAAGAGAGUUAAAUAGUACGUCGAAAUUGUCAAAAGGGAAGCGUUUAACACCAGUGUUGUUUUCUGAAAAUCAACCUCUGUUAGCUUUAUGCAUGUUUGUUUAGACCUAAUCAGCUAUCUUGCAUGUUCUAUUGUUUGCAGUGGUGCACUUUUCAGUUUACAGGUCAACAUCAGUUUUUUUUACCGUAAAAAAGUUAAAGAAAGGUAGCUCAUGGCUCCGGUCGUGAGUGUUAUAGUCUUUUCUCCUAUGCGGUCAGGAGAGACUGAGGUCUGCAGUGUAGGCUAUUUGGCUAGAUACUCAGGUGCUAUGUGAUACCAUUUCAUAAACAACCUUGUUGAUUAUGUUUUGUCUAUUGCAUACUCGCUUGUACUAUCAUACCUACGCUUAGGAUGUUGACGCAUGAGAUAUACGC